rnacentral:rRNA from 1 species
AGUGAACGCUGGCGGUAGGCCUAACACAUGCAAGUCGAACGGCAGCACAGUAAGAGCUUGCUCUUACGGGUGGCGAGUGGCGGACGGGUGAGGAAUACAUCGGAAUCUACUUUUUCGUGGGGGCUAACGUAGGGACACUUACGCUAAUACCGCAUACGACCUACGGGUGAAAGCAGGGGAUCUUCGGACCUUGCGCGAUUGAAUGAGCCGAUGUCGGAUUAGCUAGUUGGCGGGGUAAAGGCCCACCAAGGCGACGAUCCGUAGCUGGUCUGAGAGGAUGAUCAGCCACACUGGAACUGAGACACGGUCCAGACUCCUACGGGAGGCAGCAGUGGGGAAUAUUGGACAAUGGGCGCAAGCCUGAUCCAGCCAUACCGCGUGGGUGAAGAAGGCCUUCGGGUUGUAAAGCCCUUUUGUUGGGAAAGAAAAGCAGCAGGUUAAUACCCCGCUGUUCUGACGGUACCCAAAGAAUAAGCACCGGCUAACUUCGUG